rnacentral:lncRNA from 1 species
CUUCGCUAUUGGUAUUCCACAUCAUAACAUCAUGGACAAAAGAGAAGAACUACGUAUCCCAGAGGACCUCACGGUCAGAGAAGGAAGACACAUCACGGAAGAUACGUCAUCUGGUUGCGCGCGGUUCUUCUUCACUUUCGCUUGCUGCCGGGAGAGGAGUGGGUGUGCUUUCCAAGCCGGGCGCCUUCAUCAAGUAAGGCUUUCGGUUUCGGAAACUCUCUCACUCUCUCUCUCUCUCCCUCUCUAUCGCUCUUUCGCUCUCUCUCCCUCAUUCCAUUUGGUUUAUUAUACUUACUCCCGAUUAGAUUGUAUUGUAUCGUGUCAUCUUGCAUCUCAACAUCAUAGUUAGUAAAAUAAGUUCUCCUUCUUAGAUUGUUGCCACCGCUUCGUUUUUCUCGGGAAGUGAAGGGGGAGGGGGGCCCACAAGCCUACCGGCCCCCUGUCACG